rnacentral:rRNA from 1 species
UACGUAGGGGGCUAGCGUUGUUCGGAUUCAUUGGGCGUAAAGGGUGCGUAGGCGGCGCGGUAAGUCGGGUGUGAAAUCUCGGAGCUUAACUCCGAAACUGCAUUCGAUACUGCCGUGCUUGAGGACUGGAGAGGAGACUGGAAUUUACGGUGUAGCGGUGAAAUGCGUAGAUAUCGUAAGGAACACCAGUGGCGAAGGCGGCACUCUGGGCCGGAACUGACGCUGAGGAGCGAAAGCGUGGGGAGCGAACAGG